GGUGGAGGUUGGGUGGGUAUAUGAUAUAGAGGGUGGAGAGUAGCCCUCCCAGACCUAAAAGCAAUAAUAUUUAGCAGUUUCACUGAGGGUCCCUUAUGAUGGAACCAUACCGUAAUCAAAACCUGUAUCCAAAGUAGUAGUAGUUGUUUUUCAGAAGGCCUAAGGUCGAGUGAGGUUUUGCUUUUGUAACAGCUUGAUUGGAUUCAUUUACC
rnacentral:lncRNA from 1 species